rnacentral:rRNA from 1 species
GAUGAACGCUGGCGGCGUGCCUAAUACAUGCAAGUCGAGCGGACGGACGAGAAGCUUGCUUCUCUGAUGUUAGCGGCGGACGGGUGAGUAACACGUGGAUAACCUACCUAUAAGACUGGGAUAACUUCGGGAAACCGGAGCUAAUACCGGAUAAUAUUUUGAACCGCAUGGUUCAAAAGUAAAAGACGGUCUUGCUGUCACUUAUAGAUGGAUCCGCGCUGCAUUAGCUAGUUGGUAAGGUAACGGCUUACCAAGGCAACGAUGCAUAGCCGACCUGAGAGGGUGAUCGGCCACACUGGAACUGAGACACGGUCCAGACUCCUACGGGAGGCAGCAGUAGGGAAUCUUCCGCAAUGGGCGAAAGCCUGACGGAGCAACGCCGCGUGAGUGAUGAAGGUCUUCGGAUCGUAAACCUCUGUUAUUAGGGAAGAACAUAUGUGUAAGUAACUGUGCACAUCUUGACGGUACCUAAUCAGAAAGCCACGGCUAACUACGUG